rnacentral:rRNA from 1 species
AGAGUUUGAUCAUGGCUCAGGAUGAACGCUGGCGGUAUGCCUAACACAUGCAAGUCGUACGAGAGUUUUUAACUCUAGUGGCGNNCGGGUGAGUAACACGUAAGAAUUUACCUUCAGGAGGGGGAUAACAAUUGGAAACAAAUGCUAAUACCCCAUAUGCUUUCGAGUGAAAUGGAUUUAUAUUUAUCCNCCUAAAGAGAAGCUUGCGUCUGAUUAGCUUGUUGGUAAGGUAAAAGCUUACCAAGGCGACGAUCAGUAUCUGGUUUGAGAGGACGAUCAGACACAC